rnacentral:rRNA from 1 species
GACGAACGCUGGCGGCGUGCUUAACACAUGCAAGUCGAACGGAAAGGCCCUGCUUGCAGGGUACUCGAGUGGCGAACGGGUGAGUAACACGUGGGUGAUCUGCCCUGCACUUCGGGAUAAGCCUGGGAAACUGGGUCUAAUACCGGAUAGGAGCCAUUUUUAGUGUGAUGGUUGGAAAGUUUUUUCGGUGUGGGAUGAGCUCGCGGCCUAUCAGGUUGUUGGUGGGGGAAUGGCCUACCAAGGCGGCGACGGGUAGCCGGCCUGAGAGGGUGGACGGCCACAUUGGGACUGGGAUACGGCCCAGACUCCCACGGGAGGCCGCAGUGGGGAAGAUUGCCCAAUGGGCGCAAGCCUGAUGCAGCGACGGCGCGGGGGGGAUGACCGCCUUCGGGUUGGAAACUCCUUUCGCUCGGGACGAAGCUUUUUGUGACGGUACCUAGAUAAGAAGCACCGGCUAACUACGUG